rnacentral:rRNA from 1 species
GCCCUUACUGCUCAGUAACACGUGGUCAAGCUAACCUAUGGACGUGGAUAACCUCGGGAAACUGAGAAUAAACCGCGAUGGAUCAUGAUGCCUGGAAUGGCUUAUGGUCGAAAUAGUUUACUGCCAUAGGAUGCGACUGCGGCCUAUCAGUUAGUUGGUGAGGUAAUGGCCCACCAAGACUAUUACAGGUACGGGCUCUGAGAGGAGAAGCCCGGAGAUGGGUACUGAGACACGGACCCAGGCCCUAUGGGGCGCAGCAGGCGAGAAACCUUAGCAAUGUGCGAAAGCACGACUGGGUUAGUCCGAGUGAUUCCUGCUAAAGGAAUCUUUUGCCGGUCCUAAAAGCACCGGUGAAUAAGGGGUGGGCAAGUCUGGUGUCAGCCGCCGCGGUAAUACCAGCACCUCGAGUGAUCAGGACGUUUAUUGGGCCUAAAGCAUCCGUAGCUGGCUUUGCAAGUCUCCGGUUAAAUCAACCUGCUCAACAGAUUGGCCGCUGGAGAUACUACAAGGCUAGGGAGUGGGAGAGGCAGACGGUAUUCGGGGGGUAGGGGUAAAAUCCUCUGAUCCUCUGAGGACCACCAGUGGCGAAGGCGGUCUGCCAGAACACGUUCGACAGUGAGGGAUGAAAGCUGGGGGAGCAAACCGGAUUAGAUACCCGGGUAGUCCCAGCUGUAAACGAUGCAAACUCGGUGAAGCAUUGGCUUAAUGCUAAUGCUGUGCCGCAGGGAAGCCGUUAAGUUUGCCGCCUGGGAAGUACGGUCGCAAGAUUGAAACUUAAAGGAAUUGGCGGGGGAGCACAAGGGC